rnacentral:rRNA from 1 species
UAAUACGGAGGGUGCGAGCGUUAAUCGGAAUUACUGGGCGUAAAGCGUGCGUAGGCGGUAGCGUCAGUCAGCCGUGAAAGCCCCGGGCUUAACCUGGGAACGGCGGUUGAGACGGCGCAACUAGAGUGGGCUAGAGGAUCGUGGAAUUCCGGGUGUAGCGGUGAAAUGCGUAGAGAUCCGGAGGAACACCGAUGGCGAAGGCAGCGGUCUGGGGCCACACUGACGCUGAGGCACGACAGCGUGGGGAGCAAACAGGAUUAGAUACCCUGGUAGUCCACGCCGUAAACGAUGAGCACUAGACGCUGGUGGGGUGACCUGCCGGUGUCGUAGCUAACGCGCUAAGUGCUCCGCCUGGGGAGUACGGCCGCAAGGUUGAAACUCAAAUGAAUUGACGG